rnacentral:rRNA from 1 species
UGAGGAAUAUUGGACAAUGGGCGCAAGCCUGAUCCAGCCAUGCCGCGUGCAGGAUGACGGUCCUAUGGAUUGUAAACUGCUUUUUGUACAGGAAGAAACAGUUCUACGUGUAGAACCUUGACGGUACUGUAAGAAUAAGGAUCGGCUAACUCCGUGCCAGCAGCCGCGGUAAUACGGAGGAUCCAAGCGUUAUCCGGAAUCAUUGGGUUUAAAGGGUCCGUAGGCGGUUAGAUAAGUCAGUGGUGAAAGCCCAUCGCUCAACGGUGGAACGGCCAUUGAUACUGUCUGACUUGAAUUAUUAGGAAGUAACUAGAAUAUGUAGUGUAGCGGUGAAAUGCUUAGAGAUUACAUGGAAUACCAAUUGCGAAGGCAGGUUACUACUAAUGGAUUGACGCUGAUGGACGAAAGCGUGGGUAGCGAACAGGAUUAGAUACCCGGGUAGUCCCUGAGCGGGCUGGCAAGGCGCAU